UGUUCAAGAUCACUCCUUGUGUUUAUUUUCAAACUUUUAACAAUCGUUACUGUUGUUUUGCUCCUUCCGUUUCAGACAACUGACUCUUCAUCUGACAUCAGCCUCAGCUUCUUUACCUGCACUUUAGCCUUGAAGAAUCUUGCCACCCAGUUUGUUUCCAGUUCCUCUUCAUUAUGGUUCUGAACAGCUGAACUUAGGCUCUGAAGUGCUAUUUUCCCAGUCUUCUCAGAAACAUGAUGACUUUAUCAGAGAUUAUGGAUGGAAGGCUCAAUUGUCACUGAGCUAGAUGGAGCCAGAAAUGACUUGGAUUUCAAGUAGAAUUGAAGAAUUUCUUUUGGAACCAAUGACAG
rnacentral:lncRNA from 1 species